CCCCAUGGAUCCAGCCUGGCCAGGUCCCUCAGCCCAUGGAUCCAGCCUGGCCAGGUCCCUCAGCCCAUGGAUCCAGCCUGGCCAGGUCCCUCACCCCAUGGAUCCAGCCUGGCCAGGUCCCUCAGCCCAUGGAUCCAGCCUGGCCAGGUCCCUCAGCCCAUGGAUCCAGCCUGGCCAGGUCCCUCAGCCCAUGGAUCCAGCCUGGCCAGAUCCCUCA